AAUUGGAGGGCAAGUCUGGUGCCAGCAGCCGCGGUAAUUCCAGCUCCAAUAGCGUAUAUUAAAGUUGUUGCAGUUAAAAAGCUCGUAGUUGAAUUUCGGGAUCAAUAUUUCGGUCAUGCCGUUGGUAUGCACUGUUAUCAUUGAUUUCUCACCUUCUAAAGAACCGUAAUGCCAUUAAUUUGGUGUUACGGGGAAUUAGGACUGUUACCUUGAAAAAAUUAGAGUGUUUAAAGCAGGCUCACGCUUGAAUACAUUAGCAUGGAAUAGUGAAAUAGGACAUCCGAUUCUAUUUUGUUGGUUUCUAGGAUCGAUGUAAUGAUUAAUAGGGAUAGUUGGGGGCAUUAGUAUUCAAUUGUCAGAGGUGAAAUUCUUGGAUUUAUUGAAGACUAACUACUGCGAAAGCAUUUGCCAAGGAUGUUUUCAUUAAUCAAGAACGAAAGUUAGGGGAUCGAAGACGAUCAGAUACCGUCGUAGUCUUAACCAUAAACUAUGCCGACUAGGGAUCGGAUGAUGUUAAUUUUUUAAUGACUCAUUCGGCGCCUUACGGGAAACCAAAGUGU
rnacentral:rRNA from 1 species